rnacentral:rRNA from 1 species
GGCGUGCCUAACACAUGCAAGUCGAGCGAAGUAUAUUUAAGUGAAGUUUUCGGACGGAAUUUAAAUAUAUCUUAGCGGCGGACGGGUGAGUAACGCGUGAGCAACCUGCCUUUCACAAAGGGAUAGCCUCGGGAAACUGGGAUUAAUACCAUAUGAUACUUAACUUUCGCAUGAAAGAUAAGUUAAAGCGAAUAAGCGGUGAAAGAUGGGCUCGCGUCCUAUUAGCUAGUUGGUGAGGUAACGGCUCACCAAGGCGACGAUAGGUAGCCGGCCUGAGAGGGUGAACGGCCACACUGGAACUGAGACACGGUCCAGACUCCUACGGGAGGCAGCAGUGGGGGAUAUUGCACAAUGGAGGAAACUCUGAUGCAGCGACGCCGCGUGAGUGAAGAAGGCCUUCGGGUCGUAAAGCUCUGUCCUAGGGGAAGAUAAUGACGGUACCCUAGGAGGAAGCCCCGGCUAACUACGUGCCAGCAGCCGCGGUAAUACGUAGGGGGCGAGCGUUGUCCGGAAUUACUGGGCGUAAAGAGUUCGUAGGCGGUCUGAUAAGUCAGAUGUGAAAGGCGUAGGCUUAACCUAUGUAAGCAUAUGAAACUGUCAGACUUGAGGUAAGGAGAGGAAAGUGGAUUUCCUAGUGUAGCGGUGAAAUGCGU